GCCAAAAACCUAGCCCCACGCCUUAGAAUGCCGCACUUCACCUGAACCAAACAAAUAAAACAUUCCCGCAAUCUAGUACAGGCGAUAAAAAAAUUAAUUAGAGCUAUACCAAGAGUACCGCAAGGGAAAGGUGAAAUAAAAAUGAAAUAAACAAUUAAGCACAAAAAAGUAAAGAUUUAGCCUUGUACCUUUUGUAUCAUGGUUUAACUAGUCUUAGUCGAGCAAAACGAAUUUAAGUUUGACCCCCCGAAACUAGACGAGCUACUCAAAGGCAGCCUAAUGAGCAAACCCGUCUCUGUCGCAAAAGAGUGGGAAGACCUUUUAGUAGGGGUGACAGACCAACCGAGUCUAGAGAUAGCUGGUUACCCAAUAAAAGAAUCUUAGUUCAACCUAAAGCCUUAAUAUGAAUAAAAACAAACCCGCUGCUUUAGAGCUAUUCAAAUAAGGUACAGCUUAUUUGAAACAGGAGACAACCUCAGAUAAUGGGUUAUUAUACGAGCAAUUUACCAAAGUGGGCCCAAGAGCAGCCACCUUUAAAAUAGCGUCAAAGCUUACCUAAUAUGCACCAUCAAUAGCCAAAGUCAUAUCAAACCCUUUAACACUACUGGGUAAUUCUAUAUGCCUAUAGAACCAAUCAUGUUAAAACUAGUAGCAAGAAGCAACCCCUUCUCUUAAAUGCAAGCACAAGACAGAAAGGAUAAGCCACUGUCAAUUAACACGCAUGAACUUAAACUAGCAACACCGCAAGAAAACCCUAUUAACUUCAGUGUUAACCUAACACAAGAGCAUUUCAAGAAAGAUUAAAAAAAAAGGAAGGAACUCGGCAAACCUUAACCUCGCCUGUUUACCAAAAACAUCGCCUCUUGAACACACAUAAGAGGUCCAGCCUGCCCAGUGACCAAUUUCAACGGCCGCGGUAUCCUAACCGUGCGAAGGUAGCGUAAUCACUUGUUCUUUAAAUGAGGACUAGUAUGAACGGCACCACGAAGGUUAUACUGUCUCCCCUUUUUAAUCAGUGAAACUAAUCUCCCCGUGAAGAAGCGAGGAUCAACAUAUAAGACGAGAAGACCCUAUGGAGCUUAAAACAAACCAACAUCUGCUAACACCACCUUAUUUUCAGUAAUACCACAUAAAGCACAGCAACAAUGAUUGAAAGUUUUCGAUUGGGGUGAUCGCGGAGUAUAAGACAACCUCCACGACAGACGGGCUCAACCCUUAGCAAUAAACCACAAUUUUAUGCAUUAAAAACUAAUGUCUAUUGACCCAAUACUUUGACCAACGAACCAAGUUACCCUAGGGAUAACAGCGCAAUUCACUUCAAGAGCCCCUAUCGACAAGUGAGUUUACGACCUCGAUGUUGGAUCAGGGUGUCCUAGUGGUGCAGCCGCUACUAACGGUUCGUUUGUUCAACGAUUAAAACCCU
rnacentral:rRNA from 1 species